AUCGCUUCUCGGCCUUUUGGCUAAGAUCAAGUGUAGUAUCAAAAAACAAAUGCUGUUGUAACAUAUCCUAGCUUAU
rnacentral:snRNA from 1 species